CAUCACUACGCUAGAUGCAUAUCAAUAAGCGGAGGAAAAGAAACUAACUAAGGAUUCCCUCAGUAACGGCGAGUGAAGCGGGAAGAGCUCAAAUUUGAAAUCUUCAAGGUUUUACCUUGACGAAUUGUAGUUUAAAGAAGUGUUUUCUGUUGAAGUUUUGGUAAAAGUUCUUUGGAAUAGGACAUCAUAGAGGGUGAGAAUCCCGUAUUUGGUCAUUCUUUCUAGCUUUGUGAUACACUUUCAACGAGUCGGAUUGUUUGGGAAUGCAGUCCAAAAUGGGUGGUAAAUUUCAUCUAAAGCUAAAUAUUGGCGAGAGACCGAUAGCGAACAAGUACCGUGAGGGAAAGAUGAAAAGAACUUUGAAAAGAGAGUUAAACAGUACGUGAAAUUGUCAAAAGGGAAGCGUUUGACACCAGUGUUGUUUUCUCGAAAAUCAAUUAAAAAAGGCCGGAUUUUGUGUUGUAUUGACCUUAAAAGCUUUCUUCACUCUUUUCUUGUCUUUUUUAAUGCACUUUUCGUUUAACAAGUCAACAUCAGUUUCUUUUGUUGUAAAAGGGUCAUUGGAAGGUGGCUUUCUUUUCGGAGAAAGUGUUUAUAGCCUUUGAUCUCUGCAACCGGAGAGACUGAGGUCUGCAGCGUAGACUCUUCGGGGCUAGAUACAUUUGUGCUAAGCUAUAGCUUUUUAUAGACAACUUGUUGACUAUAUUUAGUCUUGUGGCUUACUCGCUUAUGCUAUUUUACCUACGCUUAGGAUGUUGACGAGACUGUCGAUCUC
rnacentral:rRNA from 1 species